AUUCUGUAGGUGGUGAUGCUUGCUUCUGCUGCUUGAGCCAAGGUUGUGUUCAAUGGGCUUCAGCUGCUAUUUGCCAUUAAUACUGAUGCACCUCGAUAGCAUCCUUGUUACUGUUUCCUUUGCUCUGCUUCCAGAAAUAUUCUACCUAAAAACCUCUUCAUCAAUUUUUCCUUAUCAUUUGAUGUUUUUCUUCAUCUGUGAAGUGAUUCAUGUCAUGUUUCAAAUCUCAGUAGCUGUUCUUCAUGUAAACCUGCAAAAACUUCUGAGAGGCAGAUAACCUUGUUUCUUGGUCUUUUUUCCUCUUUCUUUAUGGCUUUUCAUAUCAUGUAAUAGUACUAUCUAUCACCUGUAAAGUAUAAAUAAGGUUUUGUUUGUUUUUAGAUAUCUUUUAGCCCAUUUAAAAUAACUUCACUGCUGAGAAUCUAGCUCUGUCACUUCCUAGUGCUCUCUGAGUUCUGCUUGUCUCUUUCUCUAGCUCAAGCAACUUCUGAUUUCUAAACCUAGUACUUUUUACAUCUCCUAUCUCAGGUGCUUUGCAUCAGAGAGGAGGAUUAUUAACUUUUCAGUUAUUUCUUGUACUUCAAAUCACUUGAAGCCUUCCUAUUUCACAUGUUGCAAUCCUAGAGAAACUUUUUCAGGCUUGGAUUCCCAUUCUAUUCACGCAUUUUCAAAGGGUUUCUCUCAGUAAUUCCUAUUCUAAUGAGUGGAGUUACUGCCUCUUCCAUCUGAACCUGCUUUCAGCUUCUGAUAAACCCAGCGACUCAUUGUCCAGCUUCCUGUUCCUGAUAUGCAGAACACAUGUCAGAACAACUGGAGGGAUGACAACAAUGAGAGAUGAAAAAUGGACUUGGCCAGGUCUGGUUCUGGAUACUGCAACACUUAGUAAGACAAUAAAUAACAUCUACAGGAAUGUCCAGCUGAAGAGAAAAAGGUACCAUUGGCAUUACAUACUCCCAGGGCAACCAGUAUUUGGAAACAGCAAAGUUUCUGGAAUUCAGCACUGUUGCUUAAGUACUGCUGUGGGCUGAAAGAGGUGAGCUGUCCAUGAUGAAAAGGCAAGAACAGACUGAAUGAACAGGACAUUAAUAUUUUGACACCCUGUCAUGGGGUUCAGAUUUCAGUUUUACUAUUGUCUGUGUGUCUUGAAGAAUGGGAGGAACAGUUGUCUGCUUUUCUAUUACACCCACUGAGGUGAAGAUACGGAUUCUCAGCAUCUCUUAAAAUGGGGCCUAAGUUAUCAUCUAAGAAGGAAAAAAAAUGCUGCAAUAGCAUCAUUUAUUCACUGCAGCACUGAAACUGUUUUUCAAAAAAGACAUGAUCACGCCUUAUAAUAAGCAAAGAAUAUAUAGAGAGAUGCCUAUAUAAAAAGCUCAGUUCAGUAACUGUGGGCAGGUUUCAGGAGAUCUAAUGGAGACACGUUUUAACCAAAGCAAAUUAAAUCCUUUCUGAGCAAACAAGCAAGUGCCGUUGGGUUCAUAUCUAUUAAAUAAUUGAAGCAUUUGGCUCACGGUGUCAUAUUUACACACCAAAAUUAAACACUUAUGAGCACUAUUCGGUAGAGAGUUUCUUUACUCAGAAAGGAGCUCUUGGGAAUCACAGGUCAGCCAUAGAAUAUGCCAAAAGGCAGCUAUUUCUCCGGACUUGCCACUUUGCUAUAUGUGUCUUUAUUAAGUUAGGAGUUUCCCACCUCAACUGCGGUGCAGCAAUCUGUUUCCAUCUAUCUUUUGUUUGGCAGAUAUUGGGUUGGGCACUUGCCUGAGGAACAGGGUGGCCUUAUUGAAUUAAUUCCACAGAGUAAGAGUUGAAAAAUACAUGUAUUACUUUCCUAGCUAGAAGAGUUAGAGGUAAAUCAUUCUUUUACAACUGAUUUUUUUUUUUUGUAUAGAAGAAGUAUAUAAGAUUCAUUAAUUCCCAAGAGACUGUAAGCAGAGGGAUCAUGACUUCCCAGCUGUGUGAGGAAUGUACUCCCAUGGAGCUGUUAUAUCAGUAACAAGAAUAUCCACAAUUACAGCACCUUUGGCUAAGAUAAGCAUUAUGUUUUGGAGGCUGGACCACUCUUCAGUUAUGAAGGAGGAAGUCUAUACUGUGGUUCAAAAGCACCAUUACAAAUAUAAUGUUGACUUGCUGUCUGUUGAACUAAGUCCAGUAUCACAGUUUAACUGUAGCAGCGUUUAAGCUCAUUCCAAGAUUUGAGCAUGUUUUGCUGAAAUCAGUGCUGCUGUGAGCUAGAAGGCAGUUAUUUCUCAUUUUGCCUGCUCUUGAGCCCUUAAAAAAUCCUGAAUAUUCCAGUAUUGAUAGCCCCUAGAUAUAUGGUGCUCAACUUUGUCCAUUUUGUGUCUGACCCCCUCUGUACAGUGCAGUUUUCCUCUGAGGGAAGCUGGCUGUGAAUGGUUACGUUGAGUUACACCUUCUGCAAAUCAGAAGUAAACAAGAGGCUGGAUUUAUGCAUUUGCCCUGUCCAAAUUUGAAUCUAUCUCAGCUUCUUGGCCAAUUUGAAACAAUGACUAAACAAAGAAAAAAACAAAACAAACCACCAUAAACUUGAACUCUUGUUGUCUUGCCACUGUUUAAUUGAGGGUUGACAAGAAAAUUUAGUGCUACAUCUGUGGCAGUGUUAAACUGCAGUUAUUAGGAACUUUUGCAGCAAUGCGUAUGCUUUCUCUUGUUCACUUUCACACUGAGCUAUAAAGUUUCACUACAGCAUUCUUUUCCAGGUUGCUGCUGUAUUCUCAUCAUUAAUCAUUGAGUGAAAUUUUGUUUCUGCUGUGUCUUCUGUACUGUUUUCAAAGUUUUGUUUUUAUUUCCCAAGCACUGCUUUCAUCCUGCCUUGAAUCAUUUACUGUUUUUCAGUUAAUCCACUCUAGUGGAGUGGCAAAUAAGACUGUCCCCAAAGACAUGCCUGCUGCUGACUGUAAGCAUUUCUUUUUUUAUAUUGUAAUCACACCAGAUGAUAUUGUGAAAUGAAUCUCAUCUUGCAAUACAGACUGUGAGCUAUAUGGAAAGCAAUCAUAAGAAAGUCUCUAUUGUAGACAGGUUGAACCUAUAUUAAAUUAAUGGAAAUCAGUUUGUGUGGGGUCAAACCUGAAAUUAUCACCUUCAACAAAGCCUGACAUGCUAUUUGUAUAAUUACUCUUCAUUAGAAUAUAACUUGUGAAUCAACAACAAAAAAAGAAAUGUUGCAUGCACUAUUUAUUUUAGAAGAUCCUAUGGUUCUCAUUUGCCCUUGCUUUUGUUCUCUCCCUUGUCACAUUUAAAAGAUUCUACAAGUCCAGCUACAGGAGAAGCAAAGGCCUCUGCUACAGGCACAAGUGUCCUAAAAGUCAGAUGCAGAAAUUCUUCUGGAAGAGAUACCACCCAGUUUCGGACUAGCAUACUUGGUUUUCCAUGAAGAAACCAUAGUUGGUACUGGUUGUAAACUGCCAUGGUGCUGCCUGAAUCCUCCAUGGUGUUGGGCUGAAAACUUUGCCAUGCUGAUACCAGUGCUGAAGUAUGCAUCUGGAAGAAUCAUUGGCAUCACUGAUGAGUAAAUCACAUUGUGUUUAUUUGCUUUGGGGUCCUUUCUGAAUACAGUACAAUGACAUCUAACCUGAUGUAAGCCUCUCUGCUGUGCUAGAACAUUGGUGAUGUACCUCAGCAACUUGUUAAAGGGAGAAUUUGUGUAGCAGAUGAGUAUAGUAUGCAAAUGGCAAUUAAGUUCAUUUCCACAGGAAAAUCAGUUGUGUAAAGGUACAUUGUUAAUGAAUUUCUCUUCACAAUAAGGAUGUGUAACUCUCACGAAGUGUUUAUGAAACAUUGUGAAUUUUAAUCUGAUUAUCAGAUAUCUCAAAUUAUCCUUGAAAGCUCAGUCAAAUUACAUUUUAAAAAGCCAAAAUGAAAUUAUGAAGGAUUUUCAUCUAUCAAUAAGAGGCAAUCAACAUGCAGCUUGAAAAAAAAGGCCCAGCAUUGUAUGGCACUGCCUAUAUUCUGCGAAGUGUUGAGGAUAAGAUUGUUUUAACAGUCAGCGGGAGUCAGAGCCUCUAUACCUCUACAAAUCUCUCUCUCUGCUUUACAUUCUUAUUGCUUUCUUUGAGGGGAGGGAAGUUUGAAGGUCACGGAAUCAAGCUAUUUGCUUAAACAGAACCAGAUGAUUAAUUACUUUUUGGGGGGUUUUGUUGCUCUGAAAACUUUAUCCCAGAAAAGCCAGAGGACACACAAGGUGGUUGGAAGAAAGUUAUAUUAAGAUUACAGAAAUAUUGUGCGUCACAGUUCUCUGGGAAGUAGCUUUUCAUUGUUUAGCAUGAGAGAAAGAAAUACUAACAACUCAGGCUACACAGCUGGGAUUUGUGCUGUGUAAUAAGUUCCAAAUAAAGGAGUUUUAUAAUAAACUUUUAAAUAUUGCACUCAUGCUGAAAGUACAUAUAUUGGAAAGUUUCAGACUGAAAAAUAAUCAGCGCAAUUAACAUUCAAACUGGAUUAAUUGUGAUUUUAGCUUAAAAACUCCCACUCCAUUCUUUCAUGCCUUCCCCUCCAAAAAAUUUGGAAGUCAUCAUUGUAAAUAUCACCUCAAAAAUCUUGCUCUGCGUUUCUUGUUAUUUAAAGCAGAGUUUAUGUACUCAUUUGGGCAAAAUAAGAAUGAAUCUAAUUUAUUCUUAAAUCAGAAACAGAUCCAGAUGAAGAUUUCAAAAUUAUGGGAAUAUUUUUAAUUUAGAUUUCUGUGCAUUUAAUUGGUAUGUUCUAGGGAAAAUGCUGAUUAUUGUCAAAUGUUGAAGAAUAGGUUGCAAAAUCUAUUAAAACCACUGGGAAAACUGCAAACACUUUUGAUAUGCUUUGAAUCAGGACCAUUCUGGAACAGUCCCUGAAUAUAACACUUGGGAUGGGCUGAAAUGUAUCACAUUUACUUUUCCAAAGGUGCUGUUUAUCACGGCAAAUGGACAGGUUUGAGCACCAGCACAAUCUACUUCCUUCUUUGGACUUUUUUUGGCUCAGUUUUGGCAUGGACUGAUCACCUUCUCCCAGCUGAUGGCCAAACACCAUUUGGAUGAUUGCUGUGGACCUAAGGCUCUUCUCAAGAGGUGAUAUGGUUGUGGUAACUCGAUUUAGGGGCAAAGAGGGGAGGGCUGACAGUGUGAGCCCAAACCUUGUUAUACCAUUUAUCCUUAGGGCCAGAGAACGGUUUUGGAAAAGUUAGCAAGUCAAAGGUUUAGUGGAUGAGAGGCCUCUGUCAAGUCUUGUGCAAAAAUUGCUUUUUUUUUCCAGUGUCAAUUUACUGUUUUUAAGUGGGUUUACUCCAGAGUACUUUUACCAUAUGUACUUUCUCAUCCCUCUCUUCUUUUUACUAAUCUUGCUCAGCACAUGAGUUGAUUGUAGUAGUAAAUGGUUUGGCCAAACAUAUGGCAGUGGACAGAAUUAAGGUCCUGGUAAGUAGAGAGAUCAGGCUGUCUUCUGCAUGCCCUCUUGGUCAGUAAAAUCCCAUACACACCAGUGCUACUCUGUUUCCGGAUGUCCACCAUGCCUUGCAUCCCACCAGCCAGGCUGCAGGAAGAGGGGUAAAGCAGCGAGGCUGUUUCCUCCAGGCUGAGCUGCUCCACAGCUCCUUUAGAAGAAAGCAAAUCCUUUGCUACCUUUCUUUUGGUCUGCCUCCUGUUGGCUUCCCCUUCCUCAGCGCCAGGAGCUGGUUGAGCCCACUAAUAACUCCAUUCUUCAUCAGUGCCACUGAAUGGGCAUUUUACAAGGCAAAGUUUGACUUAAAGCUCUUAGUAAAAGAAAGAAAUCCUUUUUAUAAUUACAUGAAAAGGACAAUUAUUUUCUCGCAUUGGGAUGAGAUCAGAAUUGGGCUUUCUGCAAUUUUUAUGUCCAAUAUAGAUUUGAUUUACCACAAUCCCCUGAUGAUUUUGGUGCUGAUAAAUAAAUGUAUUUAUAUGUUGUGCUCUUACAUUCCUAGUACUAACUGAGGAAGCAGAACAAUAACAUACUCUUGUCAAUACAAGCACUGCCCUGGGAAUUGACUAAUUAACAUAAAACUCAGCCCUGCAGGGACAUUUCCAGGUUCAUUUUUUGCUGCUUCAGCAAACUAUAGGGUUUGAGCUGUUAACUACUUUCAGAUGCUCUUUGUCUCUGAAGAAAGAAAUAAAGAACAUCCACGUUGCUUUAGGCAAGUUAAUGAUUCUACAGAACACUUACCUUUUUACCAUAUGCUUCAUGGUGGAUUAAAAUCCUGAAGGAGUUGAGGAUUAUAUAGCAUGUAUAGUCCUUUGGCAGAAAAACACUUACUCUGAACUAAAAGUGAAUGGCUGAAUGUGACAUUUAUAUUCAUUGUUUUUCCAGAACUGCGUACUGAGGAUGUUUGAAUUUACUCAAAAUAAUUCUUCCAGUAAUCCCAAAGCAGAGGUUUUGUAGGUGCUUUGAUUUCACGUGUUGUCUUAAGGUUAUGACAAAUAGUUCACAGUGGCUACUGGGAAAACUGGAGAAGUUUGCAUAUUCACUUCUGCAAAGUUAGAAGGAAAUCUGGCCUAACUUGGCAAAGGGAUGUGCUUACAGUUUUGAGGAACACAUAAUACUUGGGUUUUUGUGUGUCUGUGUGAUUUACUUUUCACUCAUGUUCAUUCCCUUGGAUGACAAAAGCAAAGUUUCUUGUCUACAGGAAAAAAUAGGAAAUAAAAGAGAAGGAAAGUCAAACUAAAUAAGGCUUUAAUCUCACAGAUAAAGAAAAAAACUUUCCCUCCUUCUUGUAGUGUUUGCUGUUAUUAUAGGCUGUUCUUAAUUUCCACAUGUGCCCAUUGCUUUUGUUUAUGAAUGAACAAAAUGACAUACUGCAGUUCACAGAAAUCAUCUGUAGAAAGAAACAAGGGAAUAAUUUUCUAUCACUGCUGAAAACUCUUCAGUAGAUCUUCAUGUGCUGCAGCUAAAAGGACCUGAAAAUUACAUUUUGAAUGAGCACAUAUACUUUCAAAGUAUUUUGUCAGAGCAGAAAGCUAAGUACACGUGCAAAAUGCACAUUUGAGAAAGCCGAAGUCACAGCACUUGCAGAUACACACAAUAUUCAUAGUUUUGUUUUGUACAUACAUUUACUUGUUGGUGCAUGAAUACAUAAAUUUUGUGAGUGUGCUUCAGGCAUUAGUAUGAGAAGCCGUGUGUAUAUAUGUGACUGUUUGUGCCUAUUAGCACAAAUUAUUACAAUUGCUCAUACCUAUCUGAUCCUGCUGUAUAGGCUUCAUAGGCUUUACCCAUUUGGAAUAAAAUUACACGAUGUAUGUCUGCCUGCACAUUUUUUUUUCCCCCAGCAGUUUUCAAACACAAUAAUUCAAUAUUUGCUAAAAAAGGAAGAAAAAUACCUUGUAAAACACAUAAUGUUUUACUCUUUAUCAGGCAAUGUGGAAAGGUUUCAUUUGUAUUGCUGUGUCUCUUGGGCUUCAGAACAGGAAAGCGCUCAUUCAAAAUGUAACGUCCAAGUCCUUUUAGCUACAGCACAUAAAGGUCUACUGAAAAGUUUUCGGCAGUGAUAUGAAAUGAAGUGGGAUAACUUAGAGAAGUCAGGAGGAUGAGAGGAAAUAAAAACAAAUAUGGGGCCAGUAAGUAGCCAGGACUAUCUGCCAGGACAAGGUGACUCCUGGGAAAAGGAAAGAGAGAUGAGUGACUACAGCAUGAGGAGUCAGAAGUAGGGAAAAGGAAAUACUGCUAUAGUAGUAUUUUGAAUAGGAUGAGACAGCAAGUGUCAGGGUGGUCAGACAAAAAACAGCCUUGGUGCCCCUCUAGUACUUUGGAGCAGUACUAAAUGUUUGUGAAAGUCACUUGGGAAGAUUUUCAGUUCCUCUAAUCUUCAUCCACAUUAGCAGCAGCAAUCUACUUCUGCCAUUGUUUACUAGAACAACUGUCAUGCCAGUUUGCAGAGAUCUGUGCAAUGGACUUCAGUGUUUCCAGUAUUGCUGAUUCUGGGAGUCAGCAAAUGCAAAGAUGCUAGAAAUAUGUCAAUGAAGUAUUGCUAUUCCUGUUUAUUUGUAUGCUCUCAUGAUCAGUAAAAUAACUUUCCUUAAUUUAGUCUGCCUUUACUCUUCAUGGAAAGCUUAAGGAAAACUAGGCAUAAGCAGCUCGGUUUCAUUCAAUUUUUCUAUGGAGGUCUCAUCCUGCACACACCAAUGGUGGCCAUCUAUCAUAUAUUUACAUUAUGUUGAAAUGAAGGGAACAUGACAUUUUUCCUUUAUUGUCAGGAGGUGUCAAAAGUAUUAAUAGCAUAAUUUUUGCUAGCUGGCUAAAAUUCUCACACUGCAAUCUUGUGCAUCAGCAUUUUUUUUUUUUUUUUUAAACCACAGAUGGUCAUUUAUGUAACACUGUUGGAAAUUGUUGCCAUGCUCCACAGCAACAGGAAAAUGGGAUACAUCUGCACUUUGUGGGGAAAAAUACAAAUGAACUAGAAGCUAUGCAAACAUUUAAAUUACAGGGAAACGGGACUGCGAUAAGCCCUGGUCUGCAUGAGCAGGAAGAGAGUGUCAGCCUCACCCAUACCCUGAAAAAAUGCUCACAUUUAUGGGCCACUCUAUUGUACUGAGUGGAAGUUUGUUUAUGCGGGACCUUCCUUCCCUCAGGACUUCCUCUGAGAGGAAAUGUCGUCACCAUUUAGUAGGAGUCAAUUGUUAUGCAUUCAAAACUCAAACAUAAAAUAGUAUCCCCGAAUGCAACGAAGUGCAAAGGAAUAAAUAAGAUUUAUGCAUUUACAUAUUUGGAAACAUUUACAAAAGUUGUUCUUGCUCACUAAGACUUUCAGAGAACUGGGUAAAAGCAAACAGGGCUUGAGUAAGUAGCUCAAAUAAUAUCGUUUUAUAGGUGCUCAAGAUGUUACUCAGUAUUUGAUGAAUCCCACGACUUUUGUCAUCGCUGCUAGUGCUCUAUGGCCGAUGUGGGAAUAUGUUUAAACAGAAGGCUGAAAAUCAGUUUGCAGCUGUAAAACCAGGGUCAUGCUCUUAUGGGAAUACUUGGCUAAGUCUGUUCCAUGUUUUGUACUGAAUGGCUCUGGAUCUGAAGCGCUCUGGUGACAGUACUCUGCUGUUGAGAGAUGACCUUUCUGAAACCAGAAAAUACCUACAGAACUGAAGACCUGAAUGCACAGGUUGAACUGGACUGUGCUUAUGGCCAGCAGGCAACCUAUGUCCACAAGGGGAAUGAAUCCAGGCAGUUUUCUUUGACAUAAAAAGGAAGAAGUCUGAAUGUCUGUGAGGCAGAAUUAUAUACCUGGGUUAAAAGCAAGAGCAUCCACAGGUAUGGACUAAAGGGUGGUUGUGUGAACACACACCUUCUACAGAACAGAGAAGAAUUGUGAAGGCCUCUUCCCUCUAGAACACCCAGUUCUGCUUGGGAAGAAUGUAAGUCUGCCUUCAACUUGUGGAUACACAAGAACAUACACCUUAAUCCAUGUAGGAAAACUCCUGGACUGAAAUACGUCUCCAUCCAAGAAGACUACCUGAGUAUCAACAAGUGUGCCACAUAUCAGCAGUGGCUGUAGAAGACCAAACAUCUUCAGAGAAACUACUCUGAGAUCAUUCUGCUCCUCAACUCCACCACUGAAGCUGAACUGCAUCCCUAUUUAGCAAGUUUUAAUAAUCUGCCUCGGAAGAGGAUGGUUCCUGAAAACAGAUGUAUAGCUCUCUUUCAAUCACUCUAUAUAUCCAUAAAUUAAUUCCCUUUUUGUUAGGUUGCAUGUUAUGUUAAGAAGUUCUUUAAGCUAGCUUCCCAAGCAGGCUUCUAACUAACCACUAAGUAUAGGUCACAGCAGUUGUGUCCCAGUUCCCCAGCCAGACCACAGACUAUGCGGACUCCUCUCCUCUCCUCUAAUGGGGCACUUGGGAGUUUCCAUUGGUCUGAAGAAGAGUUUCUUGUUGUGAAUGUGACUGGUUCUACUUCACCUGAGUCUCAUGACAGUGUUUUUAAUGAUCAAGACCUCAAUUUUACUUAAGAUACUAAAAAAAAUUUCUAUCUUCUGUAAUAAAAAAAAUGAAAAAGUGGAGCCCUUCUAAACUGCAGAAUCUAGGAUUCAGAUAAAAUACUUUCCACCACCUUAUUUUUAAGGUACUUACAGUUUAUACAAAACCUCUCCUCCUUCUUUAGUAUCAUUUUCCAUGUGUGUUUUUUUUUUUUUUUUUUGCUUUUUUUUCCAAGAGAAAAUGGAGGUAAGGGAAUUCACUUACACUUUUUUACUUAUUUUUUUCUUGUUUGAGGCUGACAAUAGGCAUUUGCCAGCCUUUUGACUAUAACUAAAAUCAGGGUCAUGCUGAUUUCAUUAGAAGCGAAAUAAAGAACAACUAGUCUCAAAAUGGCAGCAGCUACCAAAUCCCUCCCAGAAGAAAGUCAGGUCAGCAUGCCACGAUGUAUCUGAACCCAAGACAAUGGGAAGGUGACUUCUUUCUCAUCACACUCAGGACAGUGCUAAGGGAAAGGCUGGGAUGAGACCCUCAGAGGAGGCACAGCCUGCCCGACAGUAUGGGCAGCGUUUGGUGGAUUUGAGGAAUUUGCAGUGCAUGCCAUAUCAACUGUUUCCUCUAAGUAUUUCAAAAGGAGUGCAAGAAGCUUUGCUUUUCCCUCUCAUAAGCCCUACAGUCUGAAGGUAACAGUCUGAUGCUGGACAAUACGGGAUGUUCAUUUCUUGUGUAACUCUUAGCUUUUUGCUUGUGUAAUUUUAGAUGAUAUGAGUAAUUGUUUUUUUCCUGCUUUCUUUUCUGUCUUUCUUGCAUCAGUGGAAAUAAAAUAUCAGAAGUAUGGGAAUACUGUAGCAA